rnacentral:rRNA from 1 species
GAACGGGUGAGUAACACGUGAGCAACCUGCCCCUGACUCUGGGAUAAGCGCUGGAAACGGCGUCUAAUACUGGAUAUGUGACGUGACCGCAUGGUCUGCGUCUGGAAAGAAUUUCGGUUGGGGAUGGGCUCGCGGCCUAUCAGCUUGUUGGUGAGGUAAUGGCUCACCAAGGCGUCGACGGGUAGCCGGCCUGAGAGGGUGACCGGCCACACUGGGACUGAGACACGGCCCAGACUCCUACGGGAGGCAGCAGUGGGGAAUAUUGCACAAUGGGCGCAAGCCUGAUGCAGCAACGCCGCGUGAGGGACGACGGCCUUCGGGUUGUAAACCUCUUUUAGCAGGGAAGAAGCGAAAGUGACGGUACCUGCAGAAAAAGCGCCGGCUAACUACGUGCCAGCAGCCGCGGUAAUACGUAGGGCGCAAGCGUUAUCCGGAAUUAUUGGGCGUAAAGAGCUCGUAGGCGGUUUGUCGCGUCUGCUGUGAAAUCCGGAGGCUCAACCUCCGGCCUGCAGUGGGUACGGGCAGACUAGAGUGCGGUAGGGGAGAUUGGAAUUCCUGGUGUAGCGGUGGAAUGCGCAGAUAUCAGGAGGAACACCGAUGGCGAAGGCAGAUCUCUGGGCCGUAACUGACGCUGAGGAGCGAAAGGGUGGGGAGCAAACAGGCUUAGAUACCCUGGUAGUCCACCCCGUAAACGUUGGGAACUAGUUGUGGGGUCCAUUCCACGGAUUCCGUGACGCAGCUAACGCAUUAAGUUCCCCGCCUGGGGAGUACGGCCGCAAGGCUAAAACUCAAAGGAAUUGACGGGGACCCGCACAAGCGGCGGAGCAUGCGGAUUAAUUCGAUGCAACGCGAAGAACCUUACCAAGGCUUGACAUAUACGAGAACGGGCCAGAAAUGGUCAACUCUUUGGACACUCGUAAACAGGUGGUGCAUGGUUGUCGUCAGCUCGUGUCGUGAGAUGUUGGGUUAAGUCCCGCAACGAGCGCAACCCUCGUUCUAUGUUGCCAGCACGUAAUGGUGGGAACUCAUGGGAUACUGCCGGGGUCAACUCGGAGGAAGGUGGGGAUGACGUCAAAUCAUCAUGCCCCUUAUGUCUUGGGCUUCACGCAUGCUACAAUGGCCGGUACAAAGGGCUGCAAUACCGCGAGGUGGAGCGAAUCCCAAAAAGCCGGUCCCAGUUCGGAUUGAGGUCUGCAACUCGACCUCAUGAAGUCGGAGUCGCUAGUAAUCGCAGAUCAGCAACGCUGCGGUGAAUACGUUCCCGGGUCUUGUACACACCGCCCGUC